AACGAACGCUGGCGGCAUGCCUAACACAUGCAAGUCGAACGAGACCUUCGGGUCUAGUGGCGCACGGGUGCGUAACGCGUGGGAACCUGCCCUUAGGUUCGGAAUAACUCCCCGAAAGGGGUGCUAAUACCGGAUAAUGUCUUCGGACCAAAGAUUUAUCGCCUUUGGAUGGGCCCGCGUUGGAUUAGCUAGUUGGUAGGGUAAAAGCCUACCAAGGCGACGAUCCAUAGCUGGUCUGAGAGGAUGAUCAGCCACACUGGGACUGAGACACGGCCCAGACUCCUACGGGAGGCAGCAGUGGGGAAUAUUGGACAAUGGGCGAAAGCCUGAUACAGCAAUGCCGCGUGAGUGAUGAAGGCGUUAGGGUUGUAAAGCUCUUUUACCCGGGAUGAUAAUGACAGUACCGGGAGAAUAAGCACCGGCUAACUCCGUG
rnacentral:rRNA from 1 species